ACAAGGAAGAGAUCGUUGGAUUCCUGUAGAUGGCAUCCUGCUCACUUUGGUGGCACACUUAAUGGCGAUGAAGCAUUUGGUGCUGAAAUAGGUGGGUAGCGUAUCAAGAGGGAUCCAUGAGCGAAAACCAUGGUGAAGGAUUUCCUGUCCAUGCCAUCCAGAUGGGAGAAUUUUAGUGGAAACCCUCCUGGAUCCACCCUUUCUCCAGGGGAGCUGUCUCAGACUCUCAAUUAAGAUGAGCGUGCACAUUUUUUCUCCAUCUUAGUUUCUGCUAAUGCUAAAGGUAUAGUAUUGCCUCAAUAUAAUUUUUCCUUACAUCUUCUUAUGCUACAAACUGUUAACCUAUUAAGUUAUAUGUACAGGCAUGAUUAUCAAACGAGUCUUUUUUCCUUAUUAGGAGAUGCAGGGGUGGAUGUGUGUUGCGCUGUACUUAAUUCAAAUCAUUUUAAUUUCAGUGGUACAAGUUGCCGAAUGGUUUUCUUAGCACCACUUAUUAACCACAUUUUGGCAGCAUUAUGCUUCAUAGUUCCUUCUACCAUCCCAACAAGAGUUAUUCAUAUUUGACAAAAGAAUGUCUUGCAGUUUUCCCUUCAAAUUACAGUCACACCCUCCAUCAUAAGGGAUUAAAUUCUUAAUCCUUUGUACAUCUUGAGCAUUAUAAUUUUCUGCUCAAUACAAACUGCUUAUGCAGUAGUUCUUAUAA